GUGCUAGCUUUGGCAGCACAUAUACUCAACUGGAACGAUGCAGAGAUGAUUAACAUGGCCCCUGAUGACACACAAAUUCGUGAAGCAUUCCAUAUUUUU
ensembl:snRNA U6 U6 spliceosomal RNA